rnacentral:rRNA from 1 species
UUGAUCCUGGCUCAGAUUGAACGCUGGCGGCAGGCCUAACACAUGCAAGUCGAGCGGUAGCACAGAGAGCUUGCUCUCGGGUGACGAGCGGCGGACGGGUGAGUAAUGUCUGGGAAACUGCCUGAUGGAGGGGGAUAACUACUGGAAACGGUAGCUAAUACCGCAUAACGUCGCAAGACCAAAGUGGGGGACCUUCGGGCCUCAUGCCAUCAGAUGUGCCCAGAUGGGAUUAGCUAGUAGGUGGGGUAACGGCUCACCUAGGCGACGAUCCCUAGCUGGUCUGAGAGGAUGACCAGCCACACUGGAACUGAGACACGGUCCAGACUCCUACGGGAGGCAGCAGUGGGGAAUAUUGCACAAUGGGCGCAAGCCUGAUGCAGCCAUGCCGCGUGUGUGAAGAAGGCCUUCGGGUUGUAAAGCACUUUCAGCGGGGAGGAAGGCGUUAAGGUUAAUAACCUUGGCGAUUGACGUUACCCGCAGAAGAAGCACCGGCUAACUCCGUGCCAGCAGCCGCGGUAAUACGGAGGGUGCAAGCGUUAAUCGGAAUUACUGGGCGUAAAGCGCACGCAGGCGGUCUGUCAAGUCGGAUGUGAAAUCCCCGGGCUCAACCUGGGAACUGCAUUCGAAACUGGCAGGCUAGAGUCUUGUAGAGGGGGGUAGAAUUCCAGGUGUAGCGGUGAAAUGCGUAGAGAUCUGGAGGAAUACCGGUGGCGAAGGCGGCCCCCUGGACAAAGACUGACGCUCAGGUGCGAAAGCGUGGGGAGCAAACAGGAUUAGAUACCCUGGUAGUCCACGCCGUAAACGAUGUCGAUUUGGAGGUUGUGCCCUUGAGGCGUGGCUUCCGGAGCUAACGCGUUAAAUCGACCGCCUGGGGAGUACGGCCGCAAGGUUAAAACUCAAAUGAAUUGACGGGGGCCCGCACAAGCGGUGGAGCAUGUGGUUUAAUUCGAUGCAACGCGAAGAACCUUACCUGGUCUUGACAUCCACAGAACUUUCCAGAGAUGGAUUGGUGCCUUCGGGAACUGUGAGACAGGUGCUGCAUGGCUGUCGUCAGCUCGUGUUGUGAAAUGUUGGGUUAAGUCCCGCAACGAGCGCAACCCUUAUCCUUUGUUGCCAGCGGUUCGGCCGGGAACUCAAAGGAGACUGCCAGUGAUAAACUGGAGGAAGGUGGGGAUGACGUCAAGUCAUCAUGGCCCUUACGACCAGGGCUACACACGUGCUACAAUGGCAUAUACAAAGAGAAGCGACCUCGCGAGAGCAAGCGGACCUCAUAAAGUAUGUCGUAGUCCGGAUUGGAGUCUGCAACUCGACUCCAUGAAGUCGGAAUCGCUAGUAAUCGUAGAUCAGAAUGCUACGGUGAAUACGUUCCCGGGCCUUGUACACACCGCCCGUCACACCAUGGGAGUGGGUUGCAAAAGAAGUAGGUAGCUUAACCUUCGGGAGGGCGCUUACCACUUUGUGAUUCAUGACUGGGGUGAAGUCGUAC